rnacentral:rRNA from 1 species
AGCGAACGCUGGCGGCAGGCUUAACACAUGCAAGUCGAGCGGGCAUCCUUGUGGUGUCAGCGGCAGACGGGUGAGUAACGCGUGGGAACGUGCCCUUCGGUUCGGAAUAACUCAGGGAAACUUUAGCUAAUACCGGAUACGUUCGAGAGCAGAAACGUUUAUCGGCCGAAGGAUCGGCCCGCGUCUGAUUAGCUAGUUGGUGAGGUUACGGCUCACCAAGGCGACGAUCAGUAGCUGGUCUGAGAGGAUGAUCAGCCACACUGGGACUGAGACACGGCCCAGACUCCUACGGGAGGCAGCAGUGGGGAAUAUUGGACAAUGGGGGCAACCCUGAUCCAGCCAUGCCGCGUGAGUGAUGACGGCCUUAGGGUUGUAAAGCUCUUUUCUCCGGGACGAUAAUGACGGUACCGGAGGAAUAAGCCCCGGCUAACUUCGUG